UCCUCUUUUUCCUGUACCGGCUGUAUGUUUUGUAAGAAACACUUCAGAACUAUUCAGGGUUAUCAGUCUGGUAAAAGUACGAGCUUCUUUGUUGCUGCCCAACGUACACAGGGAUUUGAUGCAGCGAGCUGAGGGCUUUAACUCUUGUUUAGUGUUUUAUGUUCGCGAAGUUGCUGUCUGAUGUGGCGCACGUUGUUGCAGCCUAUGGUGUCUGGUGAAGGAUCUUUCUGCAUCAAGUUCAACUGGUCGUUCCUUGGUGGUGUUGUGUUACCAAAAUUGCAUCUUUAUAUUGUUAAAUUGUCAUCGUGACUAUGCAGUUUACCGUUUAUAAGUUCAGAAGCAACAAAAACAAAUAUGGGAUGUUUAUGUCAACAAAUAAUAAACAUGUUUUUGGGA